rnacentral:rRNA from 1 species
GACGAACGCUGGCGGCGUGCUUAACACAUGCAAGUCGAACGGAAAGGCCCUGCUUGCAGGGUGCUCGAGUGGCGAACGGGUGAGUAACACGUGGGUGAUCUGCCCCUUACUUUGGGAUAAGCCUGGGAAACUGGGUCUAAUACUGGAUAGGACCAUGCUGUAGGUGGUGUGGUGGAAAGAUUAGUUUCGGUAAGGGAUGAGCUCGCGGCCUAUCAGCUUGUUGGUGGGGUAAUGGCCUACCAAGGCGUCGACGGGUAGCCGGCCUGAGAGGGUGGACGGCCACAUUGGGACUGAGAUACGGCCCAGACUCCUACGGGAGGCAGCAGUGGGGAAUAUUGCACAAUGGGCGCAAGCCGGAUGCAGCGACGCCGCGUGGGGGAUGACGGCCUCCGGGUUGUAAACUCCUUUCAGCCAUGACGAAGCCCUUGUGGUGACGGUAGUGGUAGAAGAAGCACCGGCUAACUACGUG